AUUGAACGCUGGCGGCAGGCUUAACACAUGCAAGUCGAGCGAGUGGCGGACGGGUGAGUAAUGUCUGGGAAACUGCCUGAUGGAGGGGGAUAACUACUGGAAACGGUAGCUAAUACCGCAUACCAUCGGAUGUGCCCAGAUGGGAUUAGCUAGUAGGUGGGGUAAAGGCUACCCUAGGCGACGAUCCCUAGCUGGUCUGAGAGGAUGACCGGCCAAACUGGAACUGGGACACGGUCCAGACUCCUAGGGAGGGAAGCGGUGGGGAGUAUUGCACACUGGGCGAAAGCCUGAUGCAGCCAGGCCGCGUGUAUGAGGAGGGCCUUCGGGUUGUAAAGUACUUUCAGAGGGGAGGCGUUACCCGCAGAGGAAGCACCGGCUAACUCCGUGCCAGCAGCCGCGGUAAUAC
rnacentral:rRNA from 1 species